AUACGUAGGGGGCGAGCGUUGUCCGGAAUGAUUGGGCGUAAAGGGCGCGUAGGCGGCCCGGUAAGUCUGGAGUGAAAGUCCUGUUUUUAAGAUGGGAAUUGCUUUGGAUACUGUCGGGCUUGAGUGCAGGAGAGGUAAGUGGAAUUCCCAGUGUAGCGGUGAAAUGCGUAGAGAUUGGGAGGAACACCAGUGGCGAAGGCGACUUACUGGACUGUAACUGACGCUGAGGCGCGAAAGUGUGGGGAGCAAACAGGAUUAGAUACCCUGGUAGUCCACACUGUAAACGAUGAAUGCUAGGUGUAGGGGGUAUCGACCCCUUCUGUGCCGCAGUCAACACAAUAAGCAUUCCGCCUGGGGAGUAUGGCCGCAAGGUUGAAACUCAAAGGAAUUGACGGGG
rnacentral:rRNA from 1 species